rnacentral:rRNA from 1 species
GAUUGCAGGCUGCAACCCGCCUGUAUGAAGUUGGAAUCGCUAGUAAUCGCGGAUCAGCAUGCCGCGGUGAAUACGUUCCCGGGCCUUGUACACACCGCCCGUCACACCAUGAGAGUCGGGAACACCCGAAGUCCGUAGCCUAACCGCAAGGGGGGCGCGGCCGAAGGUGGGUUCGAUAAUUGGGGUGAAGUCGUAACAAGGUAAC